AACUGAAGAGUUUGAUCAUGGCUCAGAUUGAACGCUGGCGGCAGGCUUAACACAUGCAAGUCGAGCGGGGGAAGGUAGCUUGCUACUGGACCUAGCGGCGGACGGGUGAGUAAUGCUUAGGAAUCUGCCUAUUAGUGGGGGACAACAUCUCGAAAGGGAUGCUAAUACCGCAUACGUCCUACGGGAGAAAGCAGGGGAUCUUCGGACCUUGCGCUAAUAGAUGAGCCUAAG
rnacentral:rRNA from 1 species